CGGGGUGUAGCGCAGCUUGGUAGCGCGCGUCGUUCGGGACGACGAGGUCGCAGGUUCGAAUCCUGUCACCCCGACCA
rnacentral:tRNA from 1 species